rnacentral:rRNA from 1 species
UACGAAGGGGGCAAGCGUUUUCCGGAUUCACUGGGCGUAAAGGGCGCGCAGGCGGGUUUGCAAGUCAGAGGUGAAAUCCCACGGCUUAACCGUGGAACUGCCUUUGAAACUGUUAAUCUUGAGUCCGGAAGAGAGAGAUGGAAUUCCAGGUGUAGCGGUGAAAUGCGUAGAUAUCUGGAAGAACACCAGUUGCGAAGGCGGUCUCUUGGUCCGUUACUGACGCUCAGGCGCGAAAGCGUGGGGAGCAAACAGG